GAGAUUAAAUGAUGAAGCAUGCUAGCCGCUUGUAAGGGCCAACAUUGCUUAGACGACUUCGCAGUCUCGUCCCUUGCAAGCGGUUAGCAGCCUUGAUCAUUUAGUCUU